rnacentral:misc_RNA from 1 species
UGUCCCCAUAGAUGUAGCAAAAUAUACAAGGAGAGAGUAGAAAGCCACCUUUGACAUCAUCACUACAAACACCGGAGCAGCGAGCCCAAAUAUUGUCAUAAGAUCAGUAGGUGAUGGAACGGAAAUGGCAUAUGCAUUGUAGCCUUUCUUGUUCAGUGAAUCAAUCAUCAUAUAAGCAGCAACAACUUGUGACACCAUUGUUGCCCAUGCUGCACCAGCUAUACCAUAGUCCAGAAACCUGCAG